UACACAUGCAGUCGACGGUAACAGGAARCAGCUUGCUGYUUCGCUGACGAGUGGCGGACGGGUGAGUAAUGUCUGGGAAACUGCCUGAUGGAGGGGGAUAACUACUGGAAACGGUAGCUAAUACCGCAUAACGUCGCAAGACCAAAGAGGGGGACCUUCRGGCCUCUUGCCAUCGGAUGUGCCCAGAUGGGAUUAGCUUGUUGGUGGGGUAACGGCUCACCWAGGCGACGAUCCCUAGCUGGUCUGAGAGGAUGACCAGCCACACUGGAACUGAGACACGGUCCAGACUCCUACGGGAGGCAGCAGUGGGGAAUAUUGCACAAUGGGCGCAAGCCUGAUGCAGCCAUGCCGCGUGUAUGAAGAAGGCCUUCGGGUUGUAAAGUACUUUCAGCGGGGAGGAAGGGAGUAAAGUUAAUACCUUUGCUCAUUGACGUUACCCGCAGAAGAAGCACCGGCUAACUCCGUGCCAGCAGCCGCGGUAAUACGGAGGGUGCAAGCGUUAAUCGGAAUUACUGGGCGUAAAGCGCACGCAGGCGGUUUGUUAAGUCAGAUGUGAAAUCCCCGGGCUCAACCUGGGAACUGCAUCUGAUACUGGCAAGCUUGAGUCUCGUAGAGGGGGGUAGAAUUCCAGGUGUAGCGGUGAAAUGCGUAGAGAUCUG
rnacentral:rRNA from 1 species